GGAAAACACUGCACGAAGUGGUACAACGCUUUAUUUCUCACAGAAUACCGUACUAAAUGCAUAAGUUUUUAUUCCUAUAGUGCUGUAUUUCGCUAUUUUCAUUUCAUCCACCAACUGGUGAUACUUGCAUCUCAUUGCGACCUUCACAAACAGAAAUUCACUUUCAUUGUUGACAUUCUCUCUUCAAACUAAAAGCAAGUGCAAUGAUAAAUUUUCUGUGAAUAAAAUAAUGAUUGGAUAUAGAAAUUAAUUUAGAAAUCAGUUUUGCUUUAGCUAGAGUUAUUUAGGAAUUGCCUAUAGUUUUCUCUUAUUUAGAAAAUGAUUGGAUAGGGAGCUAGUUUUCCUUAGA
rnacentral:misc_RNA from 1 species